GAUGAACGCUGGCGGCGUGCCUAAUACAUGCAAGUCGAGCGAACAGACGAGGCGCUUGCUCCUCUGACGUUAGCGGCGGACGGGUGAGUAACACGUGGAUAACCUACCUAUAAGACUGGGAUAACUUCGGGAAACCGGAGCUAAUACCGGAUAAAAUAUUGAACCGCAUGGUUCAAUAGUGAAAGACGGUUUUGCUGUCACUUAUAGAUGGAUCCGCGCCGCAUUAGCUAGUUGGUAAGGUAACGGCUUACCAAGGCAACGAUGCGUAGCCGACCUGAGAGGGUGAUCCGCCACCCUGGAACUGAGACACGGUCCAGACUCCUACGCGAGGCAGCAGUAGGGAAUCUUCCGCAAUGGGCGAAAGCUUGACGGAGCAACGCCGCGUGAGUGAUGAAGGUCUUCGGAUCGUAAAGCUCUGUUAUUAGGGAAGAACAAAUGUGUAAGUAACUAUGCACGUCUUGACGGUACCUAAUCAGAAAGCCACGGCUAACUACGUG
rnacentral:rRNA from 1 species